AUACGGAGGGUCCAAGCGUUAUCCGGAUUCAUUGGGUUUAAAGGGUCCGCAGGCGGGAAAAUAAGUCAGUGGUGAAAGCCUACAGCUCAACUGUAGAACUACCAUUGAUACUGUUUUUCUUGAGUAUAGAUGAAGUGGGCGGAAUAUAUCAUGUAGCGGUGAAAUGCAUAGAUAUGAUAUAGAACACCGAUUGCGAAGGCAGCUCACUAAACUAUUACUGACGCUCAGGGACGAAAGCGUGGGGAGCGAACAGGAUUAGAUACCCUAGUAGUCC
rnacentral:rRNA from 1 species